GCCCCAUUGGCGCAGUCGGUUAGCGCAUGGUACUUAUAGCAUGCCAAGGUCGCCAGUUCGAGCCUGGCAUGGGGCA
rnacentral:tRNA from 1 species